rnacentral:tRNA from 1 species
GGGGAGAUUCCCGAGCGGCCAAAGGGGACAGACUGUAAAUCUGUUGGUUCUGCCUUCGGAGGUUCGAAUCCUCCUCUCCCCA